ensembl:lncRNA
AGUGAUUUCUUGUGACCAUUUGCUCAGCCAAACUGGGAGGCAGAGAUGUGCAGAAAGUUAGCACAUUAAAGACCUAUGAAGUUUCAGACACAGCUAUUCAUGCUCGCUGUUCCCACCACGGUGAGUCAUGCCGAUUUGCCACUAUAAGAAAACUACAGGUGGCACAGAGACACGGAUGCAUCACCUCGUCUUCACAUUGAGAACCAGGUUCCUUCAACGUGGUUCAACUUCUCUGCACUAACCUGAGCAAGUACAUUCACAAAUAAUCCAAAAGUGUGUAUUAAUUUUUUUGACAGGCAGAGUUAGACAGUGAGAGAGAGAGACAGAGAGAAAGGUCUUCCUUCCGUUGGUUCACCCCCCAAGUGGCCACUAUGGCCAGCGCACUGUGGCCGUUCUGCUGCGUCGAUCUGAAGCCAGGAGCCAGGUGCUUGCUCCUGGUCUCCCAUGCGGAUACUGACACAUGAACACUUUUGGGCCUUUGUGGGGGCGUUACUGCAACAGCAGCUCUGCUGAGACACAACAGACUUACUUUCCUGCAGCUGAAGUAAGUAUUUCAACAUUGACGUUAAGACGUCCUCUGAGCCUGAUCUCAGAGAAGCAGGAAGCUACUAUUUUUAGCGGGGGAAAAUAUCAACAUGAGACAAAGAGAAUAACUUGUGGCCAAGAUUCUACUAUUUCUCCAAGUUACACAAUAUUAAUAAUGUCCAACUGCUCCCUAAGCAAUGGGCAAAUCCCUCUGGGCAUUGUCCUGACUCAAUCCAGCAUUCAAGUAAUGCAGCAAAGUUGCCAGAAUGCAGUGAGAGUAGAUGAUUUUGUGGAUAACUUUCAUCCUGAGAACCACAGUUGUCCCUGAAUAUCCACAGGGGGUUGAUUCCAGAAACAUGCACAGAUACCAAAAUCCAAGGAUGCCCAAGUCUCUAAUAGAAAAUGGAGUAGUACUUACAUAUGACCUACAUAUAUCCUCUAGUGUGCUGUAAAUCAUCUCUAGAUUAUUUGUAAUACCUGAUACAAGUUUAUACCUCCCACUUAAUUCACAUGGAUUCAAUAUAAUGCUUGAUGUGUGAUAAAUUCAAGUUUUUCUUUUUAGAACUUUUUAAAAGAUUUAUUUAUUUAUUUGAAAGGCAGAGUUACAGAGAGGCAGAGGGGGAGAAUUACAGAGAGGCAGAGGAGGAGAGAGAGAGAGAAAGUCUUCCAUCCGCUGGUUCUUUCUCUGGAUGCCUGCAAUGGCUGGAGCUGCACCAGUAGGAAGCAAGGAGCCAGGAGCUUCUUCUGGGUCCUCCAUGUGGGUUCAGGGACCCAAGAACUUGAGCCAUCUUCCACUGCUUUCCCAGGCCAUAGCAGAGAGCUGGAUUGAAAGUGGAGUAGCCGGGACUUGAACUGGUGCCAUAUGGGAAUCCAGCACUACAGGAGGUGGCUUUACCUGCUGCACCAUUUUACUAGCCCCCCAAAUAUUUUUGAUCUGUGGUUGGCUGAAUCCAUGGAUAUGGAGAACGUAUGGUUUACAGGGCUGUAACCUGAACCUGCGCUACCAUGACUGCCCUAUCUACUAUGGAAAAGUUCAAUGUGUGUAAGAUUAGAGGGCUCUUCCUGGUACCUGGAUCCUACCUGUGGAUAGCAACUAACUUUUCCCACAGCUGCCUGGUCCAUCUUACCUUCUCUUGCUUUUGAGGUUGCACUUGACUCAGCUGCCAAGUUUCCCUACUGGCCUGACUGGACAGCUGUGGAAGCACUUGUAAAGUGUCUAGAGUAUCCUCAGUUAUUACUGCUUACAGAAGAGAGCACUGACAUAAAACAAAACACAGACACAACGAGUAGUCACUUCCCAGAACUUCUGCUUUGCAACUGCUAUGUUU